UCCGUAGGGAGCAAGCGUUGUUCGGAUUUACUGGGCGUAAAGGGCGCGUAGGCGGCGCGGUAAGUCACUUGUGAAAUCUCUGAGCUUAACUCAGAACGGCCAAGUGAUACUGCAGUGCUAGAGUGCAGAAAGGGCUAUCGGAAUUCUUGGUGUAGCGGUGAAAUGCGUAGAUAUCAAGAGGAACACCUGAGGCGAAGGCGGGUUGCUAGGCUGACACUGACGCUGAGUGCGCGAAAGCCAGGGGAGCAAACGGG
rnacentral:rRNA from 1 species